CCUACGGGAGGCAGCAGUGGGGGAUAUUGCACAAUGGGGGAAACCCUGAUGCAGCGACGCCGCGUGUGGGAAGACGGUCCUCUGGAUCGUAAACCACUGUCCCCAGGGACGAAGAUGACGGUACCUGGGGGGGAAGCUCCGGCUAACUACGUGCCAGCAGCCGCGGGAAUACGUAGGCAGCAAGCGUUGUCCGGAAUUACUGGGUGUAAAGGGAGCGUAGGCGGGAUGGCAAGUUGGGGGUUAAAUCUACCGGCUCAACUGGUAGUCGCACUCAAAACUGCUAUUCUUGAGUGAAGAAGAGGCAGGCGGAAUUCCUGGUGUAGCGGUGAAAUGCGUAGAUAUUAGGAAGAACACCAGUGGCGAAGGCGGCCUGCUGGGCUUCUACUGACGCUGAGGCUCGAAAGUGUGGGGAGCGAACAGGAUUAGAUACCCCUGUAGUC
rnacentral:rRNA from 1 species